rnacentral:rRNA from 1 species
CGGGGGGAGCAAGCGUUGUUCGGAUUUACUGGGCGUAAAGGGCGCGUAGGCGGCCACCGCAAGUCAGUUGUGAAAGCUCUGGGCUUAACCCAGAAAGGUCAGCUGAUACUGCGGGGCUAGAGUGCAGAAGGGGCAACUGGAAUUCUCGGUGUAGCGGUGAAAUGCGUAGAUAUCGAGAGGAACACCUGCGGCGAAGGCGGGUUGCUGGGCUGACACUGACGCUGACAGCGCGAAAGCUAGGGGAGCGAACGGGAUUAGAUACCCCGGUAGUCCUAGCCUUAAACGAUGAAUGCUUGGUGUCUGGGGUUUUAUAGUCCCCGGGUGCCGUCGCUAACGCUUUAAGCAUUCCGCCUGGGGAGUACGGUCGCAAGACUG